rnacentral:rRNA from 1 species
AUGCUCCUAGCUUUGGCAGCACAAGAGGAUUGGAAGGUUCAUCGUAUGGAUGUUAAAUCCGCUUUCCUCAACGGUGACCUCAUAGAAGAAGUGUACGUGGAACAACCCCUCGGCUACGAGAAGAAAGGAGAAGAAGAGAAAGUUUACAAGCUCAAGAAGGCACUUUACAGGAAGCAAGCGCCAAGAGCUUGGAACUCAAUGUUAGACCGAAGUUUGGUCUCGCACAGGUUCAAAGAAUGUCCCCUCGAUGAUCCAAAAGAUAGUCUAUCAAGCACUGAAGAACCGGUGAAGGUUGAAGACGCGACCAAGGAGGAGUACUGGCAUCAAGCUAUGGAUGAGCUGACGAUAGUAAAGUCAGUGAUCGAGAUACUGCCAGUAAUUGCGAAAGCAACGCUGAGGAUAACGCCUAGGAGUUGCAGCACUCGCAUUUGGGAUCCAGGCCGAGAAAGUAAAGACAUCAUGUUUAGGGGGUGA